AGAUUCCUACUGAGACGGAUCCUCAUGCUGGUGUGACAUCCGAGUCCCCCUUUGACAACAUCCAGCAGAUUCCUACUGAGACGGAUCCUCAUGCUGGUGUGACAUCCGAGUCCCCCUUUGACAACAUCCAGCAGGUGAGAUGAAUUCUCCCGUCACAGACAUAACAGUUGUGACGUCUGACUGUCACACAGACAACAUUAAUAAGGCAAGUUGUCAACAAUUGAAUUACAUUUUUUCCCCAUUUGAAUGCCCAUCCAAACCAAGAACUAAGAUGGUACUAAGUAUCACGCCGUACCUAUAUUAAUAGCAUUAGUUGGAAGCAGAAUUUGGUUGAAACUUUGAGGGUAAUCGGUCAAAAAUGAAAAUGUCUGUCGGUGUAAAGCCCUCUUGGACCACCUUGUGUCCCAUUGAACAGCCAUUUAGCAGCUAGAUGGGUGCACACACUUAUGUCUGUUUUCAAGUAGAUCGAGAAUGCUGUCUGUUAUGCAUAAUAACGAUGAUGUUUUUUAUUGGUUUCACAACAUGGGACACCAUGUCACUUAUUCAUAAUAUUCCAUGACUUCAUCAUUUGAGGCAGACUGAGUUUUAAAGGUUAAUAAAAAUAAAUGACAACCAUGGCCAAUGGUAUUAAGCCAUAAUGGUCUAGAUAUAACAAUUUAAAUGAAAUGGGAUCAUGUCAAAGAAGUGCUAUCUUGUUAUAUGAUAUUGCAGAGAAUGCAUCAAGCUACACAUUGAAUCACUAGGAAAGAUACACGGCGCUACUUUGCAUGCUUCACAGUGCACCACACAUUACAUUGCCUCUCAUGAAACUAAUAUUUAAUUUUGUUGACUACCUAAACCUUUUAGUUAACGUAUAUGUAUGUAUGUAUAUAUCUGUCACAUCAACUAUAUUGAGCUUUAUUUUACAUUCUGCAGAGAUGAAGAGAAGCAGGCGACCUGUUGAGGAACCUCCAGGCACCUCAGAUGAUAUUGACUCCGCCGAAGAAGGCACAUCUAAAGGUAUGACGGGAAUAGUUUUUAACCAUCAAUUCUCUUUUGAUGCUAGUCAAUAGCAGCACUAUGUUUCCUUUUAAGUGUAAAGUUCAA